AAUACACUGUAAAUAAUUUUCGUUGUUUUCACAGUUUUUUACUGUUUUUCUCGACAGUUUCUUACUGUAUAAGUUGUUUACAGUUUGUUACUAUAGAUUUGUUGUUUCCACAGUAUUUUAAUGUAUUUUCAACAGUUUUUUACUGCAUAAGCUUUGUACAGUAGGCUACUGUAGUUUUCCAAUGCAUUAUGGGAAAUAUUACUCUGAAUACAGUAUUACCAACCAACUGCAAAACACAACGACAAACGUCUAUUUAUAUCUUAAAUGCUUAAUUUUUUUGUGAGAUAUUUGGUUUAAUGUCUGUUUUCACAUCAGAUGCUCGGUGUGUUCCUUUAACAUAAAUCAGGUGCCUUUUCUGAGGCUUUAAUGAAAUCACCAGCCAAUUCAAUAGACAUACCAUCAGUUCUUAAUAUUGUUGCCUCUGGGUCACAAAAUGUAUUUUUAAGAUUAGUUUAGGCGAUAAUAUAUAUAUGUAUAAUCUUCAAAUAACAGUCGAUUAGUUAAAAAAGCGCUAAUUUUAGAAUUUGAUUAAACAAAUGCGGAGGGUUCAGGCGCGAGUCGGUCACGUGAUGUGCUCCUCAGUUCUGUCAGUAGGGGGAGUGGGAGAACGCGUGUGUGUCGUCGUAUCUGUUCUGCUCAUCUAGCGCGUAUUUCUUUAUUAAUAUCUGCUGGGUGAAUAUUAAUACGUAUAUGCUAACAUUAAUUUUGUGACCACAAAAUGACAGCGAGCUAUUAUACGAGAUAUUGUGUCGUCGUGUUUGUCUUCACUCACUUCAUCAUUAUCUGGUAAGUGCUAUAUGCAAUAUCUGGUAUGAGACUUUAUUGGCACUAAAGGGUUCUUUCGGCUAAAUUUUACUUAAUUUCUGUCAUAACAGCAAACAACUUCUGCAACUACACAAUGAUUGUCUGCCUGUGUGCAAAAUAAAGCACGUUCACUGUGUAAAACCCCGCGCAGGGCAUUUUCAAAUUAACGGUCAGGGCGAGUCUGAGCUUAUCGUGUUCUGUUGACAGAGACUUUGCUGAGUGUAUGUAAAUCUGGGCUACAGUCCACGACAAAUUUUCUACGGUAGUUUUACGCCUGCAUGCUGGUCCUUUCGUCUAUCGCGGGGAUAUCAUCACUACAGCGGACAUCGCACUGAAGAGAUCCUGUGCUUGCGUGGCGGUGUGUUUGUGUGCUCACUUGGAUUGAGACCAGCAGUGCUCUUUUAAACAGUGGGACCUGAUAUGGAUUAAUCCAAUGAUCAACGUUUUCCUUUGUAUCCCUGUUUUGUAUACGCUGCCAUUACAUGAUGGUCAUAUGUCCCGGAUGAUCGGGAGAAGUCACGUGGUUCAAUUAUUAUUAUUUUUUUACGUGGUUCAAUUAUCUGUUAAUAAAAUUUUUUUACCAUGCAUUUAGCAUCAGGCAAAGCCUGCAAUCAAUCUAUUAAGACAGAAACAAUAUCUUACUUAUUAUUAUGUUGUUAUGAUAAUAUCAUGUGAUCAUCUGAGUUAGAACAAAAUCUAUUCAUUUUCAGGUAUAACUGUGCAAGUGCCCUGAAUCAUUUUGUUGAAAUGUUAUGUGUUUAAGAUUCUUUAUGACAUCAAGAUGUGGUUUGGGAAGGACCUUCAUCUUAAUCUGAAGACAGGACAUACUGGCUCAAAAAGGUGUUUCUGAUAUGGAGAAAAACCCUGCACUGCUCAUUUUAUUUCUUCAUCUUGAGAAUACAGCAAGUUUACCUUUUGUCUGGAAAAUGAUUCAGCAAAGCUAACACCAACAACAAUUUUUCAUGGCACUUUAAACCACCUUGAUGUGAGGAGCCAGCAUCAGAAUGGAUGGUGUCAAUAUCCUGAAAGUGGAGGUAACAGAGGUGGAUCUCAAGACUUGGCCAUGUUCUAGAUUAUAACUGGAUUAUCACAAGUGCUGUCGCCCCUGCUGUAUAUGACGCCCCCACCACCUACACCAGGUGUAGGAAAUGUCGGUCCUGGAGUGCCGUUGUCCUGCAGAGUUUUGCUCCAGCUCUAAACAAACACACCUGAACAACUAGAUCUGAAGAGUCACCAGAAAACUACAGGUAGGCGAGGUUUAAUCAGGGUUGGAAAUAAAAUCUGCAGGAUUUCGGCACUCCAGGACCGACGUUGCCUACUCCUGCCACCACCACCCAUACUACCUACAAAAAACUGUAUUGUAAUUAUGCUUGUAUGAUAUGGUUUUCUCAUUUAGGGUAACUACACUAUGGCAACAAUUGGAUACAUUGAUUGCUGACUGAUUUUGUUAUUUUUUCUUUACUUUUUGUUUAAAAUCUAAUCAUUUUUUUGUUAUUUUUGUUAAUAUUGUUACAAAUAUACAGUUAAAACUGCACAAUAAAUUUUCUGCUUUUAA